CCUACGGGAGGCAGCAGUGAGGAAUCUUGGUCAAUGGGCGAGAGCCUGAACCAGCCAAGUCGCGUGAGGGAGUACUGCCCUAUGGGUUGUAAACCUCUUUUGUCGGGGAGCAAAAGCCGGACGUGUCCGGCUGUGAGAGUGCCCGAAGAAAAAGCAUCGGCUAACUCCGUGCCAGCAGCCGCGGUAAUACGGAGGAUGCGAGCGGUAUCCGGAUUUAUUGGGUUUAAAGGGUGCGCAGGCGGAUUUUUAAGUUAGCGGUAAAAUCGUGGGGCUCAACCCCAUCCAGCCGUUGAAACUGGGGAUCUAGAGUGUGCGAGAGGUAUGCGGAAUGCGUGGUGUAGCGGUGAAAUGCAUAGAUAUCACGCAGAACCCCGAUUGCGAAGGCAGCAUACCGGUGCACAACUGACGCUCAGGCACGAAAGCGUGGGUAUCGAACAGGAUUAGAUACCCUAGUAGUC
rnacentral:rRNA from 1 species